UACGUAGGGUGCGAGCGUUAUUCGGAAUUACUGGGCGUAAAGAGUGCGUAGGCGGCCGAGCAAGUCGAGUGUGAAAGCCCCGAGCUUAACUUGGGAACUGCGCUCGAAACUACUUGGCUAGAGUGUGGCAGAGGGAGGUGGAAUUCCACGUGUAGCGGUGAAAUGCGUAGAGAUGUGGAGGAACACCGAUGGCGAAGGCAGCCUCCUGGGCCGACACUGACGCUCAUGCACGAAAGCGUGGGGAGCAAACAGG
rnacentral:rRNA from 1 species